rnacentral:rRNA from 1 species
AUUGAACGCUGGCGGCAGGCCUAACACAUGCCAGUCGAGCGGAUGAAGGGAGCUUGCUCCUGGAUUCAGCGGCGGACGGGUGAGUAAUGCCUAGGAAUCUGCCUGGUCGUGGGGGAUAACGUCCGGAAACGGGCGCUAAUACCGCAUACGUCCUGAGGGAGAAAGUGGGGGAUCUUCGGACCUCACGCUAUCAGAUGAGCCUAGGUCGGAUUAGCUAGUUGGUGGGGUAAAGGCCUACCAAGGCGACGAUCCGUAACUGGUCUGAGAGGAUGAUCAGUCACACUGGAACUGAGACACGGUCCAGACUCCUACGGGAGGCAGCAGUGGGGAAUAUUGGACAAUGGGCGAAAGCCUGAUCCAGCCAUGCCGCGUGUGUGAAGGAGGUCUUCGGAUUGUAAAGCACUUUAAGUUGGGAGGAAGGGCAGUAAGUUAAUACCUUGCUGUUUUGACGUUACCAACAGAAUAAGCACCGGCUAACUUCGUG